GCAAAAACAACGAGAGGUCAACGAGGGGUCAACUGAUGACAGCUUCCGGGUCAGCGGUUGACCGCGUCAAACCGGAAGGAGGUAAUUAUUGGGUGCACCUGUCGCAGGUAAUCAGUGGAGCAGUGGAGCAGUGGAGCUGCAGACAGCCAGACCGGCAAGCUACCGUCCCGAGGCGUCGCUGCACUUCCGAGAUGCGAGGAUCCAUCAGCAGUCAGCCACGAGGUCUACAGCCAUGGCCCACUUCAGUGGACCUCCAGAAAAUGUGUGCCAGUCUCUUAGAUGUGGAUGACCUGGAAGCUUGUUGUAGUCGGAUUGAAUUUGUGAACCCUGCUUUGGGCAGCGUGUGGGUCGACAAGCUUACGCUAGCUGAAGGUCCAGAUGGUGUUUCCUUCGCUGCAAUUUGAAUUUGAUUUCUGUGUGUUUGUGAUUAUGUGAAGUACUCUAGUUCUGGACCAAGACCCAGACUCUGAACGUAUUUGACUGUGUUGACUUUUAUGGGUCUUGUCUUUAACUGGUACAGAACAUUUAUGAACAAGCAAUGGAUUUCGGUUUGAAUUCAUGUGUGGAGGCGGCCAGGCUGGAUUUCAAGUUGGUUGUUGUUUGACCCCUCGUGGUCUGCUUGAAUGUUGGGGGGAUCAUUGAAAGUCUAACUACUGGCUCCCAUUGGUGAAAGAUCCUGAGAGACUGACGCAGGUUUAUGGAUUGGAGUCAAGUGGAAAGACUUGAAGCCAGUGAAGUGCAAAAACAACGAGAGGUCAACGAGGGGUCAACUGAUGACAGCUUCCGGGUCAGCGGUUGACCGCGUCAAACCGGAAGGAGGUAAUUAUUGGGUGCACCUGUCGCAGGUAAUCAGUGGAGCAGUGGAGCUGCAGACAGCCAGACCGGCAAGCUACCGUCCCGAGGCGUCGCUGCACUUCCGAGAUGCGAGGAUCCAUCAGCAGUCAGCCACGAGGUCUACAGCCAUGGCCCACUUCAGUGGACCUCCAGAAAAUGUGUGCCAGUCUCUUAGAUGUGGAUGACCUGGAAGCUUGUUGUAGUCGGAUUGAAUUUGUGAACCCUGCUUUGGGCAGCGUGUGGGUCGACAAGCUUACGCUAGCUGAAGGUCCAGAUGGUGUUUCCUUCGCUGCAAUUUGAAUUUGAUUUCUGUGUGUUUGUGAAUAUGUGAAGUACUCUAGUUCUGGACCAAGACCCAGACUCUGAACGUAUUUGACUGUGUUGACUUUUAUGGGUCUUGUCUUUAACUGGUACAGAACAUUUAUGAACAAGCAAUGGAUUUCGGUUUGAAUUCAUGUGUGGAGGCGGCCAGGCUGGAUUUCAAGUUGGUUGUUGUUUGACCCCUCGUGGUCUGCUUGAAUGUUGGGGGGAUCAUUGAAAGUCUAACUACUGGCUCCCAUUGGUGAAAGAUCCUGAGAGACUGACGCAGGUUUAUGGAUUGGAGUCAAGUGGAAAGACUUGAAGCCAGUGAAGUGAUCCAUGCCCUGGUCCAGUUCCAGAGGAAAGCAGAUGAGCCCAAGAUGUGCCGCUGCUGCCCUCCCACAACCAGCAGACCCCCCACCCCCUAUUGUCCUGAGGCGUCACCGACGAGGGAUCCACCCAUCCUGGAAGUGCAGUCUGCCUUGAGGUCUACAGCCCCGGCCCACUUCAGUGGACCUCCAGAAAAUGUGUGCCAGUCUCUUCGAUGUGGAUGACCUGGAAGCUUGUUGUAGGCAGACUGAAUUUGUGAACCCUGCUUUGGGCAGAGUGUGGGGGGUCAAGCUUACGCUAUCUUAAGGUUCAGAUGGUGUUUCCUUCGCUGCAAUUUGAAUUUGAUUUCUGUGUGUUUGAAUAUGUGAAGUACUCUAGUUAUAGAACAACAGACCCAUAAAAGUCAACACAGUCACUAUACGUUAAGAGUCUGGGUCUAGUUCAUUAACUGGUACAGAACAUUUAUGAACAAGCAAUGGAUUUCAGUUUGAAUUCAUGUGUGGAGGUGGGCCAGGCUGGAUUUCAAGUUGGUUGUGGUUUGACCCCUCGUGGUCUGCUUGAAUGUUGGGGGGAUCAUUGAAAGUCUAACUACUGGCUCCCAUUGGUGAAAGAUCCUGAGAGACUGACGCAGGUUUUUGGAUUGGAGUGGAAAGACUGGAAGCCAGUGAAGUGGUUUAGAUCCAUGACUCUGGAACUCUGGACCCCCAUAGAUGUGCUGCUGCUGCCCUCCCACAACCAGCAGACCCCCCCAUUGUCCUGAGGCGUCACCGACGAGGGAUCCACCCAUCCUGGAAGUGCAGUCUGCCCUGAGGUCUACAGCCCCGGCCCACUUCAGUGGACCUCCAGAAAAUGUGUGCCAGUCUCUUCGAUGUGGAUGACCUGGAAGCUUGUUGUAGGCAGACUGAAUUUGUGAACCCUGCUUUGGCCAGAGUGUGGGGGGUCAAGCUUACGCUAUCUUAAGGUUCAGAUGGUGUUUCCUUCGCUGCAAUUUGAAUUUGAUUUCUGUUUGUGAUUAUGUGAAGUACUCUAGUUCUGGACCAAGACCCAGACUCUGAACGUAUUUGACUGUGUUGACUUUUAUGGGUCUUGUCUUUAACUGGUACAGAACAUUUAUGAACAAGCAAUGGAUUUCGGUUUGAAUUCAUGUGUGGAGGCGGGCCAGGCUGGAUUUCAAGUUGGUUGUGGUUUGACCCCUCGUGGUCUGCUUGAAUGUUGGGGGGGAUCAUUGAAAGUCUAACUACUGGCUCCCAUUGGAGAAAGAUACUGAGAGACUGACACAGGUUUACUGAUUGGAGUUAAGUUAAGUACCUCUUUCAAUUCCUCUGUCACUUCCCCCCUCACUCCUCUCACAUCCUUCACUCCCUUCCCUUCCUUCCUUCCCUCACUCCCUUCACUCCCCCCUCUCUUGCUGAAAUGUGGACAUAUUGUAAUGGAACCUUUGUUUCUCUGUGUUGUAUUUAGAGUGUGUUUCCUGUUGUUCCUUUGCUUGAGGUGGAAAGACUUGAAGCCAGUGAAGUGGUUUAGAUCCAUGCCCUGGUCCAGUUCCAGAGGAAAGCAGAUGAGCCCAAAGAACUCUGGACCCCCAUAGAUGUCCUGCUACUGCUGCCCUCCCACAACCAGCACUGGUUGUCCUGAGACCAGAUGACUCCACUACAUUGACUUGAGGUGGAUGUCCAUGAACCAGGCGAGGUGUCAGUCUCUUAGAUGUGGAUGACCUGGGAGCUUGUUGUAGGCGGACUGAAUUUGUGAACCCUGCUUUGGGCAGAGUGUGGGGGGUCAAGCUUGCGCUAGCUUAAGGUUCAGAUGGUGUUUCCUUCGCUGCAAUUUGAAUUUGAUUUCUGUGUGUUUGUGAAUAUGUGAAGUACUCUAGUUAUAGAACAACAGACCCAUAAAAGUCAACACAGUCACUAUACGUUAAGAGUCUGGGUCUAGUUCAUUAACUGGUACAGAACAUUUAUGAACAAGCAAUGGAUUUCAGUUUGAAUUCAUGUGUGGAGGUGGGCCAGGCUGGAUUUCAAGUUGGUUGUGGUUUGACCCCUCGUGGUCUGCUUGAAUGUUGGGGGGAUCAUUGAAAGUCUAACUACUGGCUCCCAUUGGUGAAAGAUCCUGAGAGACUGACGCAGGUUUUUGGAUUGGAAGUGUUUCCUGUUGUUCCUUUGCUUAAGGUGGAAAGACUUGAAGCCAGUGAAGUGGUUUAGAUCCAUGCCCUGGUCCAGUUCCAGAGGAAAGCAGAUGAGCCCAAGGAACUCUGGACCCCCAUAGAUGUCCUGCUACUGCUGCCCUCCCACAACCAGCACUGGUUGUCCUGAGACCAGAUGACUCCACUACAUUGACUUGAGGAGGAUGUCCAUGAACCAGGCGAGGUGUCAGUCUCUUAGAUGUGGAUGACCUGGGAGCUUGUUGUAGGCGGACUGAAUUUGUGAACCCUGCUUUGGGCAGAGUGUGGGGGGUCAAGCUUGCGCUAGCUUAAGGUUCAGAUGGUGUUUCCUUCGCUGCUAUUUGAAUUUGAUUUCUGUGUGUUUGUGAAUAUGUGAAGUACUCUAGUUAUAGAACAACAGACCCAUAAAAGUCAACA